UACGAAGGGGGCGAGCGUUGUUCGGAUUUACUGGGCGUAAAGGGCGCGUAGGCGGCGGGUCAAGUCGAGUGUGAAAGCCCCGGGCUCAACCUGGGAAUUGCGCUCGAGACUGGUCUGCUUGAGUUCGGUAGGGGAGACUGGAAUUCCUGGUGUAGCGGUGAAAUGCGAAGAUAUCAGGAGGAACACCGGUGGCGAAGGCGGGUCUCUGGGCCGAAAUUGACGCUGAGGAGCGAAAGCGUGGGGAGCAAACAGG
rnacentral:rRNA from 1 species